CACGAAGGGGGCUAGCGUUGCUCGGAAUCACUGGGCGUAAAGGGUGCGUAGGCGGGUCUUUAAGUCAGGGGUGAAAUCCUGGAGCUCAACUCCAGAACUGCCUUUGAUACUGAGGAUCUUGAGUUCGGGAGAGGUGAGUGGAACUGCGAGUGUAGAGGUGAAAUUCGUAGAUAUUCGCAAGAACACCAGUGGCGAAGGCGGCUCACUGGCCCGAUACUGACGCUGAGGCACGAAAGCUAGGGGAGCAAACAGG
rnacentral:rRNA from 1 species